rnacentral:rRNA from 1 species
AUUGAACGCUGGCGGCAGGCUUAACACAUGCAAGUCGAGCGGCAGCGGGAAAGUAGCUUGCUACUUUUGCCGGCGAGCGGCGGACGGGUGAGUAAUGCCUGGGAAAUUGCCCAGUCGAGGGGGAUAACAGUUGGAAACGACUGCUAAUACCGCAUACGCCCUACGGGGGAAAGCAGGGGACCUUCGGGCCUUGCGCGAUUGGAUAUGCCCAGGUGGGAUUAGCUAGUUGGUGAGGUAAUGGCUCACCAAGGCGACGAUCCCUAGCUGGUCUGUGAGGAUGAUCAGCCACACUGGAACUGAGACACGGUCCAGACUCCUACGGGAGGCAGCAGUGGGGAAUAUUGCACAAUGGGGGAAACCCUGAUGCAGCCAUGCCGCGUGUGUGAAGAAGGCCUUCGGGUUGUAAAGCACUUUCAGCGAGGAGGAAAGGUUGAUGCCUAAUACGUAUCAACUGUGACGUUACUCGCAGAAGAAGCACCGGCUAACUACGUGCCAGCCGCCGCAGUAAGAC